GUAGUAAUCUGAUUUGUCGAUGAGAGAGAGCGCGCCACGGAAGUAAAAAUGUUGAAUCGAUUCAUACCCCUAAUGUUAUAUAAAAUGUAGCCACCGCUCUUCCCUGUCAUCCGUCCGCCGCCUCUUCCUCCGUCCUAGUUUCCUCCGCCGCCGCUUUUGCUUCCGCGCGCAGCUCAGCUCGCCGCGCGCGCCUGCUACUACCCAGAAAGACUCCGCCGUGCUAGAGAUGCGCGGAGCCAACACCGGAGGGCCGGGAGAGGGCUGUAGCUGCCGAGCGCGUUGGGGAGCAAGGGGAUGGGGGAAGCCAGCGAGCGCGGCGGCGAGCCGGCGACAGAUGAAGACGCCAGCCAGUGCUGCGGCAUCUUAGCAGGGAGAUGAGGAGCCCGACUGGUGACUGCUCCAUCGGCAGUGCGUCGGUGACUCCACGGCGGAGGCCCGGCUGAUUGGGCGAGUGCUGCGGCCACUGCGCAGGGAGAUAAGAAGGCCCGUUGCUCCGCCGGCUAUGCGUCAAUGACUCCACAGCGGCGGGCGGUGGCCACAACGACGAGUGUAUCGGGGAUCCUACAGGCCAGAAACUGGAAGCAACGGAACGAUUACAGCAUUUCAUCAGCAGCCAAGUCUUUCCCGGAGCUGGGAUGGGAAGACUUUUGUGAUCACCACGGACAACUUCUUGCUGGCGAUUUAGACGCCUGUGGAGAGUAAUGACGAGCGAACACCGGUGCCACUUUGCCAGUCAUUCGUCCUUACAACUUUUGCAGAACGAUCUGGAAGAAGGACCUCAUACCAUGACAAUCAGUCCAUGCCAACGACGUGGAAUCGUGUAGUACGUUGAAAUUCUAGGUCUUCCGAGCAAUAGUACAAGCACUAAAAACACAAUUAAAGAGGAGAAAGGUCGUGCCUAACUAUAGUGCGUGGAUAGGCUGCAAUUUUCAUGAAAACUCGUUUUCAUU